AACCUUAUGGACCUGCGGGCGUAUACCUGCGGAAGGAUCAUUACACAAAUAACAUAUGAAGGCUUGUACGCGGCUGUGCCCUUCUGGGUGCAGCGUCUGCUGCGGCUGGAUUAUUUAUUUUCACCCUUGUCUUUUGCGCACUUGUUGUUUCCUGGGCGGGUUCGCCCGCCACCAGGACCACAUGAUAAACCUUUUUUAUGCAGUUGCAAUCAGCGUCAGUACAACAAAAUGUAAAUCAUU
rnacentral:misc_RNA from 1 species